rnacentral:rRNA from 1 species
GGAUUAGGCAUGCAAGUCGAGCGCUAAGGCCCCCCAAGGGGUACACGAGCGGCGUAAGGGACAGAAAUGUGUAGGUACGUACCCCCGGGACUGGUAUAGCUGCGGGAAACUGCAAUUAAUACCAGAUGAUGUCUCCGGACCAAAGGUGUGAUUCCGCCAGGGGAGCGGCCUACAUCCUAUUAGCUAGUUGGCGGGGUAAUGGGCCACCAAGGCUCAGAUGGGUAGCAGGUGUGAGAGCACGACCUGCGUCACUGGCACUGAGACACUGGCCAGACACCUACGGGUGGCUGCAGUCGAGAAUCUUCGGCAAUGGGCGCAAGCCUGACCGAGCGACGCCGCGUGCGGGAUGAAGGCCUUCGGGUUGUAAACCGCUGUCAGAGGGGUAGAGAUGCUGGUGGGUUCUCCUGUCGGCUUGACUGAUCCUCAGAGGAAGGGUGGGCUAAGUUCGUGCCAGCAGCCGCGGUAAGACGUACCACCCGAACGUUAUUCGGAAUCACUGGGCUUAAAGAGUCCGUAGGCGGCCCCGUAAAGUUGGAUGUGAAAUACCCUCGGCCUAACCGAGGAAUUGCAUUCAAAACUGCGGGGCUUGAGAGGAGACAUAGGUGAGCGGAACUGAUGGUGGAGCGGGUGAAAUGCGUUGAUAUCAUCAGGGAACACCGGUGGCGGAAAGCGGCUCACUGGGUCUCUUCUGACGCUGAGGGCACGAAAGCUAGGGGAGCGAACGGGAUUAGAUACCCCGGUAGUCCUAGCCUUAAACGAUGAGCACUAGAUCAAAGGGACCUCCACAUCCUUUUGUGUAGGAAACGUUAGUUCUCCGCCUGGGGAAUAGUUCCCAAGCGAAACUCAAGGAAUUGAGGGGUUCACACAAGGGUGAACAAUGUGCUUAAUUGGAGGAUACGCAAAAACCCUUAUCCGAUCUUCCAGUUGGUAAUCCGCCCGAAAGGUAGACUCCCCUCAAGUAGCCCUUCACAGUGCGCAUGCGUGUCAGCUCGUGUCGUGGAUGUCGCGUUAGUCGCUUAAGACGAAACCCUUUCCUUAGUUCCCAGCAGUAAGUCGGGACUCUAAGAGACCCCCGUGUUUAAACCGAAGAAAGUGGGGAAGAACUUCAAUUCCUCAUGCCCUUUAUUACCAGGCCUCCACACCUCCUCCAAUGUCAUUCACAAAGGAAUCCAAACUCCCAAGAGCCACCAAAUCCCAAAAAACAUUCCUCAUUUCGAAUUCUAGCCUCCAACCCCCCUCCAUAAAUCGGAAAUCCCUAUUAAUCGCGGUUCACAAUACCGCGGUGAAUGUGUUCCUGAGCCUUGUACACACCGCCCGU